GCUGUAGCUCAGUGGUAGAACAUCUGCUUUGUAAACAGAUGGGCCUAGGUUCAUUCUCCAGCAUCUGUU